GGACAGAAGGGAGCUUGCUCCCGGAUGUUAGCGGCGGACGGGUGAGUAACACGUGGGUAACCUGCCUGUAAGACUGGGAUAACUCCGGGAAACCGGAGCUAAUACCGGAUAGUUCCUUGAACCGCAUGGUUCAAGGAUGAAAGACGGUUUCGGCUGUCACUUACAGAUGGACCCGCGGCGCAUUAGCUAGUUGGUGAGGUAACGGCUCACCAAGGCGACGAUGCGUAGCCGACCUGAGAGGGUGAUCGGCCACACUGGGACUGAGACACGGCCCAGACUCCUACGGGAGGCAGCAGUAGGGAAUCUUCCGCAAUGGACGAAAGUCUGACGGAGCAACGCCGCGUGAGUGAUGAAGGUUUUCGGAUCGUAAAGCUCUGUUGUUAGGGAAGAACAAGUGCAAGAGUAACUGCUUGCACCUUGACGGUACCUAACCAGAAAGCCACGGCUAACUACGUGCCAGCAGCCGCGGUAAU
rnacentral:rRNA from 1 species